UGCAAAAAUAAGUAAAAUGUACUCGCUAAGGUUUUGUGAGUAACCACUUAGUUUUGUUUUUUUUUUCUAGAGGUGAACCUGGGAUAAUUUCAAGUGAAGCAAAACUAUUCAAGAAUCAACUCCUAAUUCACUAGUGUUCUCCCCCUCUACCUAUAUUCAUCAAUACAGCUAAAAAGGACAAGAGGCUGGAGGACCCAAAGAAAGGGUUUGAAUUCUUACAUAAAAGAGAAGGUGGAAUGCCAUCCUACUUAUCAAAUUUCCUGGUUGUGCUAGUUAAACUGGCAGUAUUGAUUAAUGUUUGACAUAUCAUCUAAAUUUCUUUCUUUUUGAAAAUUCUGUAUUUAAGAACUGGUAUAAUUAAUAAAAUCGAAUAGAACAAAUUUGCCAA